GGAUGAGAGUAUGCAGUCCAAGGGAUGGGAUGGUAGCAACGUCGGCAGACAAAACAACCAACAUCUCUUUUUAUGGAUACAUAAGUAGCACACAUGGUGGAAUAUGCAAUGUGGUGUUGAAAAAAAACCCGUUAACACUAUGGCUUAGAACUCUUUUAGGAUAGUAUCACAAAGAACAUGCAAUGUGCUUUGGGGAGAAUGGACAUAGCAAUUAAACUGCUUUUGUUCACACACUCCUCGUUUUUGAUGGUUUGUUAUUGUAGGUAAACAUGAUGGAUGAGUAGUAUGCUACUGAUGAAGAUGAUUAAGUACGAUGUCAUCUACUGUCAGUUGAUAAUUCCUGGGAACAUCAUAAACAAAACUGAAACCAGGAAAAGGGUGUCGGAUAAUUACUGUGGAGAUUUGGAAUUAUUGGGGAGUUUUUAGGACCAAGAAACUCACAUUUGUCAAUUCGGAGUUAGAGAUUUGUUUUGGCAUCACGAAUUGCACCCGUUGGAGAAGGAAAUGAAUAUGAAGUUUCAUGUAACGGCUGGUUUGUCUACCUUGGAUUGUCAGGUAUAAAGUUUCAUGUUUUUUAAGUUACCAUAUCUACUUUUUGAAAGCAUUAUCAUGUCUACUAUUGCAUCAUAUUAAGGGAAAGUGGUGUUUCGAUGUUACAUGAUUUUAAAUUUGAGGAGUUUUGAUAUCAUGGACUAAACGGACCUGUCAGAAUUCGGCCUGCAUUGGGAAGGCUUUCUCCAGAGAAGAGGGGACGGCUGGUCUUAGUUUUGAAUAUUGCUUGCACGAUUGCUUACAGGUUGGAGCUCACAUUCUUUGGUUACUACGUUUCUGAAAUCGAAUAUUCUGACAUUUCGUUUGGACGGCAAGCCUGUGUCAUACAUGUUUAGAUUUUCCUUAUCAUUGGAUUAUGCUAACCUAAGCAUAAUUUUCAGUAAAUAUAAGUAUUAACACAUCAAUGUUUAAAAGUUUAAAACCCAUUUAGAAAAAUCCUAAUACAAUAUAACAUGGAGACUGUACGAUACCUGGUAUAAAUCAGCAUGAAUGCGCUUCUGAUUCUUAGGAUUGGAGAAAAAAUCAAGUCUCAUAGUCUCACACUUUAUGUACAUGUCGACAGCCCAUUGCUGGAGCUCGCGUGCACCGAACAAUAUAAUGUUGAAAAGUCCUUUCCUAACUUGUAGCUUGAAGCAAUAGUACUCCCUAGAGCUAACAAAUUUUCUUUUACCUCCGUUUUCACCAUCAUCCUGGUCCUCUUCAUCCUGGUCCUCUUCAUCAUCUGGAACAUGGAUGAGAAAAUGAUUAAUCGUCGAUCGUUAUUAACAAUCAUUAAAAUGUGAAACUUGUUUUGUCAGCACGGGGAUAAUUACCUGCUACCUCAUCCGUGUUUUCUUCCAGAUGUACACUGGAACUUUGGUCUAGACCUUGCAAGGGUUCACGCUCUGUCAUCCUCUUUGUCCCCUUGCUGAGUGACUUUACGUGGUAUCUCAUAUGGUAUCAGACGGUUCCACCCCGUCUCCCCUCUCGGGAAGAAUAAUGGAUACGCCAAAGGAUCAUAGCAACCAUAGUAAGCUCUAAUAAAUAUAGGACGGUCCCCUUUGCCAUGCACGACAACCUGCCUAUCAAAAGUGUUUUGCGGGUCACUACCUUCAACCCACAUGGCGGCCACCUGUGAAGCUGUGGGGACAUUGUACCUUCUCUGGUCCAGUCUUAUGUCCGUGUUAAGGGAUAUUCUAUAUUCUUCCAGGUUCGGAACAGAUCCACAGCUUUUAAAGGUCUUCACAUAGGGGUUGUCCUUUAGUAUUGAAGGAGAUAUGCCCUAGAGGCAAUAAUAAAGUGGUUAUUAUUUAUAUCUUUAUGUUUAUGAUAAAUGUUUAUAUAUCA